rfam:Tropilaelaps mercedesae isolate Wuxi-XJTLT scaffold0000022279, whole genome shotgun sequence.
GCAUCGGCGUUCCUCAACGCCAUCCGCAUUUACAGAGGAAAACUGU